GACGAACGCUGGCGGCGCGCCUAACACAUGCAAGUCGAACGGAGCUGAGCGAAGCUUGCUUUUCUUAGCUUAGUGGCGAACGGGUGAGUAACGCGUGAGUAACCUGCCCUGGAGUGGGGGACAACAGUUGGAAACGACUGCUAAUACCGCAUAAGCCCACGAUCCGGCAUCUGAAUGAGUGAAAAGGAUUUAUUCGCUUCAGGAUGGACUCGAGUCCAAUUAGCGAGUUGGUGAGGUAAAGGCCCGCCAAGGCGACGAGUCGUAGCCGGACGGAGAGGUUGCACGGUCAGACUGGGACUGAGACACGACUCCGACUGCUGGGAGCAGCAGGGGUGGUGGAUAUAGGAGCAUGGGGGAGACGCAGCAGCGGCGCCGGCGCGUGGACGACGAACGUUUUGGGAUCGGAAUCUACCGUCGGCAGGGCCGAUAGUGACGGUACCUAAAAAGAAAGCACCGGCUAACUACGUG
rnacentral:rRNA from 1 species